UGGAUUGGGUUAGAUUGGAUUGGAUUGCUUCAUAAUCCAUCCAGCCAUCCACCCCAGGCCAUC
rnacentral:pre_miRNA from 1 species